GGCUCCUUGGUCUAGAGGUAUGAUUCUCGCUUUGGGUUUAUUCGAAAAAUCCAAACAAUCCAACUCCACUAAAGAAGAGGAGAAGGAAAAGACUGCGAGAGGCCCCGGGUUCGAAUCCCGGAGGAGCCC